GUAAAUGAAUGCAUUGCUUCACUGAAGACGAUAGACACAAAAACCUGAACACUGCCAAAGCAAUGCCUCCCAAGAUCACAAGGAUUAUGUGAUUUCUGAUGACUGAUUCUAGCAGAGAGAACAUUUGUUACGCACGGCUAAAUUUUCUUGCAAUCAACUUCCCAAAAGUAACCAGUGAAUCUCCAGGGCAAUGAGGAUCCCAGACUGAAAACGACUGGCAUAGACUGAAGCUGCUUGUGAUUAACAUCAAAAGAAGAAAAGAUGACAGAGAAUGGCUAAGCAAGUUCAACAGAAACCUAUCAUAGCAAAGUGCUGAUUCCAGUUUCUUUGGUAACGAAGGAAAAUAAAUAAAUAAAUAAAUAAAUAAAACAAUGGCAGGGUUCCCCCCCCCCCACGUUCAUUUUUUUUUUUUUUUUAUUUAGUUACACCUUUGUAAAGAAAACAGAAGCAUAAUUCAUAAACCACCAGAAAGGCCCAAUAAUACAUAUCCUUGCAUCAUUUGAUGUUUUUAUGUGAUUACUUAUGCUUCCUGAAACUUACUUGCUCCUUCUUAAAAUCAAAAUCAUUCAAGUCACAUCAGUAUAGAUUAACAAUAUCAGUAGAAGGGCUGUGGAAAAUGUUAUUAUUGGUGUUGGCUGAAAUUGCUACAUAGUGUAAACGAAAUCACUGCUGCUUUAUGCUAGUAGGAAAAGAAGAUUAGAUCUAUAAAAGAUCUCAGAAGGAAACUUUGUGUUGGUAGGCAGAAGGCCUGAGAGUGAGAGUUGUGUUUCCAUAGUAACUACAAAAGGUUUUUUUUUUUUUUUUUCCUGGCUUUUAAGCCAUUCCUCCCCUGUCUCACGAGUCUGUGUGUCAUACCCACCCUCAUAUACCCAGAUACUAGGAUACACUACCCCAAGAUCUAGAGAUAACAGAUAUGGCAAUCAGAUGAACUGAUGUAAUUCUCAUUCUGUUCAACAUAAAUUUGCAAGACACCUGUGGCCUUCUUACCUGGAAAUGACAAAACCUGACCCCUGGAGGACAUGUACAACAGAGGCAAUGGACACAGCAGAAUGUCAAGGAUCAUUAGAGCCUAGGAAGACCAACCUUCUUACUAGCCUACAGGGAAAAUAUGUGUGCCAUAACACACCAGAAGACUGUGCUGCCAUUCAGAGGGACCUGGACAGGCUGGAGAGGUGGGCGGAGAGGAACCUC
rnacentral:lncRNA from 1 species